rnacentral:rRNA from 1 species
GUUAGCCGUGGCUUUCUGGUUAGGUACCGUCAAGGUGCCGCCCUAUUCGAACGGUACUUGUUCUUCCCUAACAACAGUAGUUUUACGAUCCGAAAACCUUCAUCACUCACGCGGCGUUGCUCCGUCAGACUUUCGUCCAUUGCGGAAGAUUCCCUACUGCUGCCUCCCGUAGGAGUCUGGGCCGUGUCUCAGUCCCAGUGUGGCCGAUCACCCUCUCAGGUCGGCUACGCAUCGUCGCCUUGGUGAGCCGUUACCUCACCAACUAGCUAAUGCGCCGCGGGUCCAUCUGUAAGUGGUAGCUAAAAGCCACCUUUUAUGAUUGAACCAUGCGG